CGCGACCGCAGCGAUGGAUGGCGCUGGUGGGGGCUGCACGCGCCCACGGCUCGCCCUCUCUCGCGUUAAAUCACACCGUAGGACAGGGGAGCGGACGUAGACUGGCAGCGACAGCACACGGGGCAAAGUGAAAAAGGAUAUAAAAGUGUUGAAGAGGUCCCCACCUGGGAGCAGAAGUGCCGCCUAAACAGCAUUUAUCUGCUAGGAUCUGCCAAAGGACGCGUUGGACACACUCUCAAGUCCUCAAACAAAAACUGCUAAAUCCAAGGAGCUAAAAAAAUAAAAAGCCAACCGCUGGCUCCAGCAAGUGGACAGAUUUUAAAGUAAAAACACGGCUGGACAGGGGGAGGGUUGUAUGGGUGCCAAAUCCCCAUCCAAGACUCACCACACCUCCUCGGUCUACGGCCUCCCUCCUCUUCCUCCCUCCUCUUCCUCCCUCCAUUGCCUCCUCCGCCUCAGCUCUUCUCUCAUUCCCCCUCGUUCUCUCUCAUGGGAGUGACAUAGAGGCCGUCGCUUGGUCUACUGCCCCGCCCCUUCCCCUCCCCUUCCCCGCCUCGCCGCGGAAACGGGGGGGUCCAGGUAGUAAUGUCGUGGAAGAGGAACUACUUUGCGUCGGGUGGCGGAGCAGUAGGAGGGGUGCAGGGGCUGGUGACCCCGAGAACCAUGACCUCUAUUGCACCCAGCAAAGGCCUGAGCAACGAACCGGGACAGAACAGCUGCUUCCUCAACAGUGCUCUGCAGGUUCUGUGGCAUCUCGACAUCUUCCGCAGAAGCUUCCGACAGCUGACCACACACAAGUGCAUGGAGGACUCGUGUAUCUUUUGUGCUUUAAAGAGUAUCUUUGCUCAGUUCCAGUUCAGCAGUGAGCGUGUACUCCCAUCAGAUGCACUGCGGAGCGCUCUGGCCAAGACUUUCCAAGACGAACAACGCUUUCAGCUGGGCAUCAUGGACGACGCUGCCGAGUGCUUUGAGAAUCUCCUGAUGCGUAUCCACUUCCACAUCAGUGCAGAGAGCAGAGAGGACAUCUGCACAGCCAAACACUGUAUACCACACCAGAAGUUUGCCAUGACUCUGUUCGAACAGUGUGUGUGUAACAGCUGUGGAGCCACAUCGGACCCCUUGCCCUUCAUUCAGAUGGUUCAUUACAUCUCCACUACAUCCCUCUGCAACCAGGCGGUGAGGAUGCUGGAGUGCAGAGAGAAAGCUACACCGGACAUGUUCGGAGAGCUGCUCCGCAACGCCAGCAACAUGGGAGACCUGCGCAACUGCCCUAGUAACUGUGGGGAGGUGCUGCGUAUCCGCCGGGUGCUGAUGAACUCUCCAGAGAUCGUGUCCAUCGGCCUGGUGUGGGACUCGGACCACUCUGACCUGGCGGAGGACGUCAUACACAGCCUGGGAACCUGCCUGCGUCUGGGAGAUUUGUUCUACCGUGUGACAGAAGAGAGGGCUCGCCAGGCGGAGCUCUACUUGGUGGGCAUGGUGUGCUACUACGGCAAGCACUACUCCACCUUUUUCUUCCAGACCAAGAUACGCAAGUGGAUGUACUUCGACGACGCCCAAGUCAAGGAGAUCGGCCCUAAGUGGAAGGACGUGGUGUCUCGCUGUAUCAAAGGCCACUAUCAGCCCCUGCUGCUGCUCUACGCUGACCCCCGUGGGACGCCGGUGAUACUGCAGGAGAGCUCCAACCCCUGUACCAGCUCCAACCCACAGCUGGAGCUCCAGCACUGCAGCAGCAAGGCCGGUUACGACAGCGAAGACUCUGGUCGGGAGCCGUCUAUAUCCAGCGACACUCGUACUGACUCUUCCACGGACAGCUCGAGUCACCGCGCCACCCGCAGCCGAUCCCUCCACCAGUCCACGGGAAGCCACCUCUCCAGCGAGUCCCAGACCACGGUGGUGUGUAAUUACGACAUCGGCACACCGCAGCACGGUGCCGACGCUGGAGAGUCAGCAGUGGAGGGUCCUCCCCGCCCUUCCUCUCCUCCUCUGCAGGAGUACAAGGAGACGGCCGUCUUCCUCCUCUCCUCCCGCCGGCCACUCACCUCCUCCUCCUCCUCGUCUCGUCCCCUGUCCUCCUCCUCUUCGUCAGGAGUCGGGGGCUGUGAGGGCGGGGUUGGGGGCCCCCACUGGGAGGAUGAAAGCACCAGCAGUGAGAGCAAGUCCAGUUCUUCUGGAGGCCGCUACAGGCCGACCUGGAGGCCCAGGAGAGAGGCCCUGAACAUCGACAGCAUCUUCACCCGACCGAGAGGCCCCUCUCUGGGCUACAACACCCUGCCUGGUCCCUCUCGGCCUCCGGAGCCGCACAGCGUCUUUCCCUUGGCAGGCCCUGCUCCCCCCACACCGCCAGGACUGCAGGAGGCUGAAGGGAGGGAGGUUGGGGAGUGUGAGGCAGGGCUUGGGCUGGUCGGACAGCCCAGGUCUCUGGGCGGCGGGCGGACAAUGGGUCCUCCUCCCCCUCCGCCUCUGAGAGGGGUGGAACACCAACCGCGUCUGAUCCAGAGGAUGGAGAGUGGCUACGAGAGCAGUGAAAGAAACAGCAGCAGCCCCGAUAGGGAGGUGGGGCAACAGAAACGGGUACUGAUGUCAGGACCUUCUUGGCGUUCGGUGCCAAAGUCAAAGAGCAGCGGUGCCAUCCUGCAGGAGCUGCCCUCACCCAGCUGGGGCGGCGGCACCAACACAGGCGGCCGAGGGCGCAGUGAGCUGGACGAGCUGCAGGAGGAGGUGGCGAGGAGAGCCCGCCAACAGGAGCAGCUGAAGCGAAGGGAGGCGGAGCGAGAGAAGGCCAUGGGAUUUAACCCCAAACCCAGCAAAUUCAUGGACCUGGACCAGCUCCAACACCAGGCUGUGCUCAGACCCCUGCAUGAGGCUAACGCUCAUAGCGGAUUGGCUGUAGCUGCGUGCAUGAGGAGCACUGGGGGCCCAAUCAAACGCAGGCAGGAUCAGGAAAUGGAACGGGAGACAGGAAGCGCCCGCCCACAGGGGCCUCGCAGUGGACAGCCUGGCCCGGUCCAAGUACUGCUGACGCCCAAUCAGGAGGAGGAAGAGGACCAGGCAACGCCCAACCAGGACGCUGCUCUGGGCCCGGGCCCGCCCCCUCCACCCUAUCGGCACGCCCCCCCUCGACCCGCGCUCACCCUCAGCAUCCCUCACCCUUGCGCCCCUUCCAGCCGAGAAGAGGAAGAGGAGGAGGAGUGUGGAUGCAUGGGGAGGAGAGGGGAGGAAGGCGAGGAUGGGAGGGAGGGGACGGGGGUGAGGCUGUGCGAGUUGCUGCAGGCAGGGGGGGUGAGUGUCAGACCCCUGGGGAAGCACUUAGCUAUCUCUCUGCCCUCGCUUCCUCUGCGUCUCUGGGAUACACACACCAUACACACUGCACACUCCACACACCAUGAACACACACACUCACGUCCUCCUCCUCCGUCCUAUACUCCUGCACCAUCUUCCCCUCUGGAAGGCUCCGAGCAAAGGAAACCUCCCUGGCAGCCCCCCCAGCUUCAGUCCCCCACCGGUGCGGCUCAUUGGCCGGGGCAAGAAGCCGCGGCUGACAGCGCCACACGUCAUUGGUCCUCCUGGAGUCUGGACCGCCCCGACGCCGUGGUGACUCCGUACGACACCCCCCCGGACCGCUGUGUCCCCAUCAGGCCGCAGACCACCAGCCAGCAACACAGCUACAGUUGUCAGUCCUCUCCAGGGCACUACAGCUCCCAGCAUGCCCUAGGGCAACAGAGUGAUCACCGCUGUGACCGCGAAGAGGCUGAGCUGUCUGAGCUUGACUCCCUUUACCAAGCCAGUCUGCAGGCUGGAAGGACAGGGUGCAGUCCAUCAGAGAGGCUGAUAUCAAGGGUGGGGGGGCAGGGGCGCUCCAAGACCCCCAACGCAGACAUGGAGAGGAGUGUGUAUGGGGCAGACAGCACCAGCACCCCCACCUACCUCAACAAGCCAAUGACGUUGCGGGAUCUGCGUUUGGGGGCGGGGCCUGAUGAUGGGGAGAACCUGAGACGAAUUGGACGGAGCCUGAGCGGCACGGUAGUGACCCCGCGCCGCGGCCGCCUGACUGCAACCCGCAGCUUUGUGAAGCAGGCUGAUGUCAGUGCCUCUGCUUGCUUACUUCCUCUCUUCUGAAUCCCUGUUGCUCUUCCACCACUAUCAUCUCCUCCAUCCUCCUCAUCACCAACACCUUCUCAUCACCACCUCCCUCCUCCGCUUCACAGGAGCUAACCGGGAGUACAGGGAGUUUCUGGCUGUGUCUGACGGGGGUCAAGGUGUCUUCUGACCGGAGUCCCACUCUGCUUCACUAACGUCUCACAGUGUGGGGGGGCAGCAGCCAUGACGGACCUAGAAUUGGCUCCGGAGGAUCUACUCCUAUUAUGUUCCUCCUUCUCCUCCCUUAAACAACAUGCACGCACACAUGCACAUCUGCACUGACGUAGAGCCUCCCUCAGCGCCUGCAGCACCCCGCUUACCUCCCCCUACUCCCCCCUCCCCUUUCUUGACCUACUAUUCUGUCUAUGCAGUCACUCUGACCCCCAAACUACAACCUCAACCUUCCCACCUACUUCCCGGGACUCUUGUUUCUCCCCCCAGAGGUUUCUCUGUGCGAGCGUGAAUUCGCCCCCUUCAUCCUAAAGGAACCUCAGCUCAGGGGGGAGACCCCUACUAAGUAGCCACGCCUCUUCCUCUUUCUUCACGGGCAUUUCCUGUUGGACGCACACAUAGCCAAACUGGGUCUGUUUUUAGAUGGACUGCUAUACUUUUUCUCUUUUUCUUUUCGUUAGUUUUUUUCUUCCUGUGUGCGCGCACAGUAAACCCGCCCGGAGACUGAACUCACUAAUAACAAAAAGUCAUGUACAGAAAAACUCAUGUAUGAAACCUGUAUGUUAAUUAAUAAGACCUUAUGGAAUGUUGAUAAUGAUAAUUAAUGAAUAUUGAUAAACUUAAAGUGGUACUUCCUCAUGUCUGCUUUUCAAAUAGGAGUGGAGUGCACUUCACAAGUGUCUAGCUGGAGAUUCCGCCCCCCCCCUAAACCUGCUCGUCGACCUAAAUGACAGCUCUCCCGUUUCUUCCGGGAGAUUAAACAAGAAAAGCGCUUAUUUUUUUCUCUUCUUUCCUUUCUUUCUUGCUGUCUUUGAUUCACGCUUGCUCUUUUUCUUCCAAAACCCGAAACAGUAGCACCAGAAAUUGGACACAGGGGAGGAAAGUCGAGAAGGAAUGAGAGUAUGUACAUUAGGAGACCCUUCUCUGAGUAUUUAUCAGUGAAAACAUUGAUUGACUUAAGUGCGCUUUACAAGGUUACAUGGCAGAAGUGCACUUUCCGAAAGCUAUUUGACUGAGAAGCAGCUCGAUGGCGGUUAUUUUACUUAAAGGCCUCAGGUGAAUUUCAGUGGCACUUACAGAUUCACACUAUUGUUUUCCCCUCCCACUGAAACUUGUUUGAGACCUCAGAUGUUAAUAGGAAAUGCUCAUCUUCAGCCUGAGACAUGUCUAAUAUGAAUAUGCUUUAUAUGAUAUAUAUGUAUUAGAGGUAUAUUUUCGGCCAGUGAGCUAUCUUCUUCAGAGAUGUCAACCAUUCCUCAGUUGUAUGAACAGUUAUAACUUCAUUCACCCCCUUUACUGAGGAGCGUUCUGACAUGUGUAGAGUACAUUUAUUAUAUGCUUUAUUCUAUUUAAUAAUAUAUACAAAUAACAAAGUCCUUAUACAACAACUGGCCAAUGUAAAGUUCUUUUAGAAUUUACUGAUGAUUGAUCGUUGUAACUAAACCAAAGGUUGGCACUUAACUCAGAGAGCGUAUUUAACAUUGCUGUUUUUAUUUUCAUUUAGAUUUUGUUGUUGUUUUUGUUAGUUUUUUUGGGUUUCUGGAUUUGGGAGAAUGUAGCCAAUUGUAGCGCAUGAGUCCGCUAUGCAAAUCAACCUUCCCUCACGAUCCUGUAUCGGAGACAGCCACGAGGCAGACACACCCACCCACGGGCGCCCUCAUGGACUCUGGCAGAGACACGGAGGGGUGGAGGAGAUCUCAUGUUCAAUGCUGCUGGUGAACUUUGUUGUUCUGCAUCUAACUGCUAUGUUUCAACCUAUGGAAUGCAAAAAGAGAGCAACAAGGAGGUAGUGGGGAGCAAAAAAAAAAAAGGGAGAAAGAGCGAAUGAAUGUAAACUAAAGGAUGAAAGUGUGUGUUUGUGAAUAGUGUGAGGGUGAGAGACACGAGAGGUUCUGAGAGUGAAGAGUUUACCACUGCAGGUGCAUUGUAUGUGGGUGUGUGUAGACUGUGUGUCAGUUCUGGGGUUGUGUUGCUCGGGGAAAGAGGGAACCUGUAUUUUUGCAAUAAAGUUAUUACCAAUGCACUCCCACAGGGGGCGUAACCACCGUAAAA